CCCGCCCCGGUCUCUGCAUCAGCCCCCACCUGACCUCUCUUUAUUCUCCCUGUCCCUCCUUUUUCUGUUUCUCUUCAUUCUCCCUCUCUCUGUCUCCUGUGCAACUCCCUGCAGUGGCUGCAACCAAUUAUCUCCCCAUCAGCAGUAACUCCAGGCAGCUGUGGUCCUGCACUCUGUUGUCAUCACCUCCGCAAUAAAGACUGGCUUCACUCUCUACUCCCUGCCACAUUGUAGCUUCUGCUCACGAACUCUACUGAUCGCGUUGCCUGUGAGUUCUGCCGCAUUCAUCCUGCCAACCUCUGUAAAACCUCUUUCGGACCUCUGUGGAAUCCUGCCGUUUUCUAUCUCCGCCUCUGCCAUGCUCUCCUCCACUGGACCGGCUCUCUCUCGGACCAACUCCGAGCCGCCACUGCCACUCUCCGCCGCCAACUCCCUCUGUCCAGCGGUUCCACCCCUGGAUCGCUGGUCCCCAGGAGCUGCCACCCUCUACCUCCUUCAGUCAAUAGUGAGUUUAGUUCAGUUUCUCCCUCACCCCUUUAGUUAUCCCUGCUUUCUAUUCCUAGCUUUAGUUAGUUAGUUCAUCCAACCCAUUUGGUUCUCCCUGUCCUUGUUAAUAAAACUCGUUGUCCCUGCAA